rnacentral:rRNA from 1 species
AGUGAACGCUGGCGGUAGGCCUAACACAUGCAAGUCGAACGGCAGCACAGUAAGAGCUUGCUCUUACGGGUGGCGAGUGGCGGACGGGUGAGGAAUACAUCGGAAUCUACUUUUUCGUGGGGGAUAACGUAGGGAAACUUACGCUAAUACCGCAUACGACCUACGGGUGAAAGCAGGGGAUCUUCGGACCUUGCGCGAUUGAAUGAGCCGAUGUCGGAUUAGCUAGUUGGCGGGGUAAAGGCCCACCAAGGCGACGAUCCGUAGCUGGUCUGAGAGGAUGAGCAGCAAAACUGGAACUAAGAAAAGGUCAAGACUCCAAAGGGAGGCAGAGGAGGGGAGUAUUGGAAAAGGGGCAAAAGCGUGAGCAAGCCAUAACGGGUGGGUAAGGAAGGCAUCCGGGUGGUAAAGCACUGUUGUAGGGAAAGAAAAGCAGCAGGUUAAAACCCCGAUGUUCUGACGGGACCCAAAGAAUAAGCAAAGGCUAACUUCGUG